UACGUAGGGGCCGAGCGUUGUCCGGAGUUACUGGGCGUAAAGCGCGCGCAGGCGGCUCGUCAAGCCUGACGUGAAAGCCCCCGGCUCAACCGGGGAGGGUCAUUCGAUACUGAUCAACUUGAAGGCAGGAGAGAGAAGUGGAAUUCCCGGUGUAGUGGUGAAAUGCGUAGAUAUCGGGAGGAACACCAGUGGCGAAGGCGACUUCUUGGCCUGUUCUUGACGCUGAGGCGCGAAAGCUGGGGGAGCAAACGGG
rnacentral:rRNA from 1 species